GGGGCCAUGGUUGAAUGGGACAACACAUCCCUCGCACGGAUGAGGUCCGGGUUCGACUCCCGGUGGCUCCACCA
rnacentral:tRNA from 1 species